rnacentral:rRNA from 1 species
UACGAAGGGGGCUAGCGUUGCUCGGAAUCACUGGGCGUAAAGCGCACGUAGGUGGGUCGUUAAGUCGGGGGUGAAAUCCUGGAGCUCAACUCCAGAACUGCCUUCGAUACUGGCGAUCUUCGAGUCCGGGAGAGGUGAGUGAAACUGCGAGUGUAGAGGUGAAAUUCGUAGAUAUUCGUAAGAACACCAGUGGCGAAGGCGGCUCACUGGCCCGGUACUGACACUGAGGUGCGAAAGCGUGGGGAGCAAACGGG